UGUAACAAUUUUCACAUAGUGAUCGUGUUUUUUUCUCCGAUUUUAUAGUUUCCACGUUAUGUUCUUCUAUUGUGAUUGUGUUCUUCUUUUUUUUUCUAUAUUUAUUUUUUCAACAACAUCUUCAAAAUUAAGUAUAAUAAAGAUAAUACACUCGUUUCUGUUCAAUUUUAUAAAAAAAUAGGUAGUGUUUGAAGAUGAAUAUCCAAAUUGUAAAAAU
rnacentral:lncRNA from 1 species